AUUGAACGCUGGCGGCAGGCCUAACACAUGCAAGUCGAGCGGAUGAAGGGAGCUUGCUCCUGGAUUCAGCGGCGGACGGGUGAGUAAUGCCUAGGAAUCUGCCUGGUAGUGGGGGAUAACGUCCGGAAACGGGCGCUAAUACCGCAUACGUCCUGAGGGAGAAAGUGGGGGAUCUUCGGGCCUCACGCUAUCAGAUGAGCCUAGGUCGGAUUAGCUAGUUGGUGGGGUAAAGGCCUACCAAGGCGACGAUCCGUAACUGGUCUGAGAGGAUGAUCAGUCACACUGGAACUGAGACACGGUCCAGACUCCUACGGGAGGCAGCAGUGGGGAAUAUUGGACAAUGGGCGAAAGCCUGAUCCAGCCAUGCCGCGUGUGUGAAGAAGGUCUUCGGAUUGUAAAGCACUUUAAGUUGGGAGGAAGGGCAGUAAGUUAAUACCUUGCUGUUUUGACGUUACCUACAGAAUAAGCACCGGCUAACUUCGUG
rnacentral:rRNA from 1 species